rnacentral:lncRNA from 1 species
ACGCCAGUUUUCAUAAUUAGGUCCGGUCAGCUGCGGAAUCCCUUCCUUUCCACUGGAACCCAUAACCUAUUGGAAGUUCGGGGACUGGGUUGACAGAAACAACUCGGUAUUAACAAAGAAAGCUGUAUUUAACGUCUGCUUCUUAAGAGAGCUUGAUUGGGAAUGGCUACAUAUUUCGAUAACGAUCGUACACGUCAUUUAGUCUACGCCUACUAUUCUUACAAUCUUACACUCAAAAAAAUCCACACGUCAAGGCUACGUGAAAAAUCACGUAGAUCGUUUGAAAAUGAACUUUUCUCUAAUUUACCGGACAACGGUAACAAUCACCCAGACGUAGAUAUACAUUGAAUGUUCUUUCAAUAAUAUUUACUGUUGGUGUCCAUCACUCUUACGUGAAAAAAACACGUAGGCGUAAAUGAACUCAAAUGUUGAUAGUUCAGUUUCUGUUUUGAACUGUCACCAGUGCAAAACGAGUAACAUCGUUGGAAGCAAACGCCAAGUCUCGACAUUACAAAAAAUGUUCACAAGAUGUUGGGCUGAGCAACGUACUUUCACCGCCAAUCGCAGCUGGCUUAUCUCCAUUUAUCAGCGAUGUAAGAUUCCUCGAACUAACUCCGGUAAUAAGCAUCUGAUUGCAGAAAUAAUUCCGGUGUCCGGUGACCAAUACGCAUGACUAAGCAAGUUCUUGAAACUAGACCAAAUUUGCCGUCGAUUACUUCCGGUCGCAUCCAAUUUCAUCUAUUUUUCAUUAAGUUAUAAGCAUUUGAAUUUCGGCAAAAUUUUGCCUACGUUAAUCAUUUCUCCUGUAUUCAGUGUAAUCUUCCAUUCAGAUAUAUUUCCAAAUAAUAAUAAUAAAACAUUUUGGUACAAUGAAAGGAAUCUAAUUAGAACAUUUCUUUUAUUCAUAGUUUCCGUAAAAUUGAUAGUAUAAUUGCUUAGAAUCCAAUAAAACGCUCCGUAAAAGGUACUCACAAAACACUUAGCGGCUACGUGGAAUUCCCGUGAAUUGAGAAAAGUUCAUCAGCUCGAGUGUUCAUUCUGUGCUACCAAUGAUUCACGUAAGUGCUACAUGGAAAGUGCGAUGGAAAAAAAACUACGUAUGUUUUCACGUAGCCUUGACGUUUGGAUUAUUUUGAGUGUAGCUCGGAACCUGCGGAUCGGAACGUAUCGCGAUAGUUUUUCUUCUACCGUCAAUCGAAACGAUGUUUUUCAUCAAGAUUACUAGUAAGCAGGGCUGCCAGAUGGUUUGAUAGAAAACCUGUAUCUACCAGGUUAGAAAAUCUGUGUCCCAUACAAAAAAAUCUGUGUCCAUACAAAAAUUGUUGAAAGAAAAUCUGUGUUCCAUACAAAUUGCAGCUGUGUCAGAAUAAAAAAAUCUGUGUAAUACAGAUAAAUCUGUAUAUGUGGCAGCUCUGCUAGUUUGAACCAGGCAUGAAAGCACCAACAAAAACCAAUGUUUGGUACAGUUGGAGCAACAAAUCGACAUCGCUAAGGGCUUUGCGAAGUUCCAUACGGGCCCAUCCCGGGCAUUUCCUGAAGAAGUACUGAAGUACCAAGCAUUGAACGAAGUUCCUGAACAAUCUGGAAAAAUAAAAAUGCUCAGAACAAAUCUUUAAAAAAAA